UCCACAUAAGCACGCCGGUCGGAGCAUUUUAAUGACGUGGCAUACAGCAUGGCCAAAACUGUGUCGUUUGGCUCAAUAAUUGAAACACAAAAUUUUCAAUCCCUAAAUCAGAAAUUGAACAGAACUCACGCACUCAACUCUCGCUGAACUCUCAAGUGAACUCACGGCCGAGCAGGGUCGUGGCUCACGACAGCGCGGCGAACCAGGUUCGUGGGGGUAAGGCUCGCGACGCGCAUAUGAGAAGAAGGACAAAAAGGUGUACAUAAUUCCGGUGGUGAUUGGUUUUGUGUGCAUAUGCAUCAUGAUCUUCGUCGCUUCGUAUUGUAUGGUAAAGAGAAAAGGAAGCGAAACAGAACAGAAAAGGGUCUUCCAAGCAGAGCAAACAUUUCCAUCAGACUCAACUGCAAUCAUACUCAAUCAAGAAUCAGAGGUAGAUAGUAAUGAGGAGUUGCCCGUGGAAUGGCCUGAUUCUGAUACUACCCCCGCCCCCUCGUUGCGAGCCUCUGCGUCGCGAGCCCGACCCUUGAACCCUCCGCAGUCGCGAGCCCCACGAACCCUGGUCCGCCGCGCCGUCGGCAGCCGAACUGCCACGAACCCUCCGCCUUUGCGAUCAAAAUCGGCACCCUAGUCCGCCGCACCGUCGUCAGUUCAGUGAGCGUGCGUGAGUUCACUGAGCGCCGUUGUGAGUUCAGCGAGAGUUGAGUCAUUAAAAUUUUGUGUUUCAGUUAUUGAGCCAAACGACACAGUUUUGGCCAUGCUGUAUGCCACGUCAUUAAUGCCGGCUUGCUUAUGUGGAUUUCUGGCUACCAACUCAUCUUCACGGUAUGCAGAUUUAGUGGUCAUGUGCAAAAUCAUAAAAUAGAUAAAGGUGAUGUAUUCUGAGGCAGGAUUUUAAAGAUGAUGGCAAUAUCAGAAUUUAGUGAAAGUUUAUGUAUUUAGGGGUAAUUACCCCUUUAAAAUAUAAA